AGCUGAUGCAACUAACACAACCACGUCUGCUCGCCUGCCUGCCUGCCCGCCCGCUCGCCUGCCUCGCCACGCCACGCCGGAGCCCGGCCCUCCGGCGGCAGCGGCGCGCGUGGCACGCCCUUAUCCAUUUCUUGACUUCUCAAGUUAGGUGGAAUAAUUCUCAUCAUAUAAGUCAAGUCAAAAGACCCUUGGACUUCCAAUAUGGUACUAUUGGUAUUCUCCACUAUUACACACCAUAUAGUUUAUUCAAUAAAUAGGUCAGGCCUAUAAAAGAUCCAACAAACUGUACCUGACUUGGCUUUCUCUCUGCCCAUGCGUUCACUCGAGCAGCAGCUUCUGCAUCCUGACGACCAGGGGCGGAUCUACGACCGGGGCUGCCCGGGCUGCAGCCCCGGUCGCGGCCUAGUACAAGCGAAUAGGCCCAGUACAAGCCGUGUCUCCGCCUACAGCCUCCAGCCGCGUGCCUGCGUCGGGGCGUCGCGUAGUCGCGUCCAGUCCGCCAGCGGAGCAGCUCAGCAGCACCGAAGUGGAGACGAGCAAGAAGCGCCGAAGCGGAGCAGCUCAGCAACGCCGAAGUGGAGACAAGCAGGAACUGCCGAAGUGGAGAAGAGGAGGAAGCGCCGAAGCGGAACAGCACGGAGACCAGCAUGAAGCCAGGAAGCGGAGCAGCGCUGCGUCCAGUGGCAGAUCUAGAUUUCGCUACGUCCAGGUCUCCAGAAAGCCAAGCACCAGCCACCAGUUAAAGCCUCAUUCAGUUAAAUUAGACUAUGGUUUAAUCUGGAUUGAAUCGGAUCCAAUCUAGCCCACAAUUCAUGCCAAAAAAAUCCAGAAUUAUUUUAUUUUUCCUCUCUUCAGUUAAACCCGCUAUGGUUCCCCAGGGUUUUGGAUCUGGCCGACCGACCGACUCAAGUUGUUCCUGUUUGUUUUAUAAAGGUAGGAAUAUGAUAUAUUUCACUCGAGAUCGGUCACUGUAAUAAUACAAUUCACUAGCUAAAAAUAUGUUUGUAGAUAUUUAAGAUGAAAAGAUUUUGAAGCAUUUUUAAGGCUUAAGAACUCGGAAGAUAAAUUUAUCUCGCAACAUCAACUCAUGAACGAUAUGUAUUAAUUAUUGUAUUCCUAGAAUUCGUAUCGAUUUAUUUUUGGGUUACAUAUUUCUUAAAUGUUUAGAUUAUAUCUUGUUUCUUGUGUUAUAUUAAACAUUAAUUAUAUUUUUUAUAGCCUUAGCUUAUUAGGCCCUUCUUGGAUCAAUCCUGGAUCCGCCACCGCUGAGUACGACACAUUUGUAAUCUAGUACAUAUGUAUACAGCUUUAAUUUGUUACCAGAUGUUUGCGAGCGAAGCGUGGUGAUCAGACGGACCUUUUUCUGGAACUCGACGGAGUGGAUCUCGGCGCCGUACUUCCCCACGGCGACCUCCUCGAAGGCCGGCCUCAGCUUCAGCGACGCGUCGGCGAAGACGGCGUCCGCGAAGGCGAUCCGCGCCACCUGCUCGGCGAGAGCGUGCAGGCUGUCGGCCGCGUCCGGCCCAUCGCCUCCGCCGAGCGUAGCCAGCAGUUGGUCGCGCGUGGCGCCGCCCGAGCCGGCGGCAAGGAGGCUGAGCGCGACGUGGAGCGACAGCGGGGCGAAGCAAGUGAUAAAUAACUAUGGGGAUUUGAUGAACGUUGAUAGUUGUAGGUCGGUAAAUAUGGUUGAGAGUGUAAUCUUCGAAUGGUCUAGGUUUUGGUGGGGUGUUACUCCAACGGACCUAAAACCCCACUAUUGUGUGCGUGUGGAUGCGCCGCGUUGCAGGCGACCUAGCGAACGUGUCAUAUAUCGAUGAUUCGGUUUCAAGUGGUAUUAGAACUCAGGUCUGACACGAUGCAUUCUUGAAUACAUUUUAGCUCACAGUGAGUGAGCGAUAGAUUGUUGGGA
rnacentral:lncRNA from 1 species